UACGGGGGGGGCAAGCGUUGUUCGGAAUUACUGGGCGUAAAGGGCUCGUAGGCGGCCAACUAAGUCGGACGUGAAAUCCCCAGGCUCAACCUGGGAACUGCGUCCGAUACUGGAUGGCUUGAAUCCGGGAGAGGGAUGCAGAAUUCCAGGUGUAGCGGUGAAAUGCGUAGAUAUCAGGAGGAACACCAACGGCGAAGGCAGCACUCUGGGCCGGUACUGACGCUGAGGAGCGAAAGCGUGGGGAGCAAACAGG
rnacentral:rRNA from 1 species